rnacentral:rRNA from 1 species
UACGUAUGGUGCAAGCGUUAUCCGGAUUUACUGGGUGUAAAGGGAGCGCAGGCGGCGCGGCAAGUCCGAUGUGAAAACCCCCGGCUCAACCGGGGGACUGCAUUGGAAACUACCGGGCUGGAGUGCCGGAGAGGUAGGCGGAAUUCCUGGUGUAGCGGUGAAAUGCGUAGAUAUCAGGAGGAACGCCAGUGGCGAAGGCGGCCUACUGGACGGUGACUGACGCUGAGGCUCGAAAGCGUGGGGAGCAAACAGG